rfam:Myotis davidii contig106077, whole genome shotgun sequence.
GGAUUCCCAUGAUGUUCAGCACUGGGCUCCGAUCACCCCUGAGGACACUUCUGGGACCUUUGACACAUGGGAGUCCAAGGGGGGC